UGGGGAAUUUUGGACAAUGGGCGAAAGCCUGAUCCAGCAAUGCCGCGUGUGUGAAGAAGGCCUUCGGGUUGUAAAGCACUUUUGUCCGGAAAGAAAUCCUUGGCUCUAAUACAGUCGGGGGAUGACGGUACCGGAAGAAUAAGCACCGGCUAACUACGUGCCAGCAGCCGCGGUAAUACGUAGGGUGCAAGCGUUAAUCGGAAUUACUGGGCGUAAAGCGUGCGCAGGCGGUUUGCUAAGACCGAUGUGAAAUCCCCGGGCUCAACCUGGGAACUGCAUUGGUGACUGGCAGGCUAGAGUAUGGCAGAGGGGGGUAGAAUUCCACGUGUAGCAGUGAAAUGCGUAGAGAUGUGGAGGAAUACCGAUGGCGAAGGCAGCCCCCUGGGCCAAUACUGACGCUCAUGCACGAAAGCGUGGGGAGCAAAGCAGGAUUAGAUACCCCUGGUAGUCCACGCCCUAAACGAUGUCAACUAGUUGUUGGGGAUUCAUUUCCUUAGUAACGUAGCUAACGCGUGAAGUUGACCGCCUGGGGAGUAC
rnacentral:rRNA from 1 species